GACGAACGCUGGCGGCGUGCUUAACACAUGCAAGUCGAACGGAAAGGCCCUGCUUUUGUGGGGUGCUCGAGUGGCGAGCGGGUGAGUAACACGUGAGUAACCUGCCCUUGACUUUGGGAUAACUUCAGGAAACUGGGGCUAAUACCGGAUAGGAGCUCCUGCUGCAUGGUGGGGGUUGGAAAGUUUCGGCGGUUGGGGAUGGACUCGCGGCUUAUCAGCUUGUUGGUGGGGUAGUGGCUUACCAAGGCUUUGACGGGUAGCCGGCCUGAGAGGGUGACCGGCCACAUUGGGACUGAGAUACGGCCCAGACUCCUACGGGAGGCAGCAGUGGGGAAUAUUGCACAAUGGGCGGAAGCCUGAUGCAGCAACGCCGCGUGCGGGAUGACGGCCUUCGGGUUGUAAACCGCUUUCGCCUGUGACGAAGCGUGAGUGACGGUAAUGGGUAAAGAAGCACCAGCUAACUACGUG
rnacentral:rRNA from 1 species